rnacentral:rRNA from 1 species
AUUGAACGCUGGCGACAUGCUUUACACAUGCAAGUCGAACGGCAGCACGGGUGCUUGCACCUGGUGGCGAGUGGCGGACGGGUGAGUAAUGCAUCGGAACGUGUCCUGAAGUGGGGGAUAACGCAUCGAAAGAUGUGCUAAUACCGCAUAUUCUCUGAGGAGGAAAGUAGGGGAUCGAAAGACCUUAUGCUUUUGGAGCGGCCGAUGUCUGAUUAGCUAGUUGGUAGGGUAAUGGCUUACCAAGGCGACGAUCAGUAGUUGGUCUGAGAGGACGACCAGCCACACUGGGACUGAGACACGGCCCAGACUCCUACGGGAGGCAGCAGUGGGGAAUUUUGGACAAUGGGCGCAAGCCUGAUCCAGCAAUGCCGCGUGAGUGAAGAAGGCCUUCGGUUGUAAGACUCUUUCAGUUGUAGAAGAAAAAGUACGUAGACUAAUAAUACAUGAUUCAUGACGGUAUCAACAGAAGAAGACACCGGCUAACUACG